rnacentral:rRNA from 1 species
CCUACGGGCGGCAGCAGUGGGGAAUAUUGGUCAAUGGACGAGAGUCUGAACCAGCCAAGUCGCGUGAAGGAUGACUGCCCUAUGGGUUGUAACCUUCUUUUAUAUGGGAAUAAAACAGGGUAUGCAUACCCUCUUGUCUGUCCCAUCUGAAUCCGGAUCGGCUAACUCCGUGCCAGCAGCCGCGGUAAUACGGAGGAUCCGCGCGUUAUCCGGAUUUAUGUGGUUUAAAGGGAGCGUAGGUGGGUGGUUAAGUCAGUUGUGAAAGUUUGCGGCUCAACCGUAAAAUUGCAGUUGAAACUGGUAGUCUGGAGUAUAGGAGAGGUGGGGGGAAUUCGUGGUGUAGGGGUGAAAGGCGUAGAUAUCACGAAGAAUACCGAGUGCGAAGGCAGCUUGCUGGACUGCAACUGACACUGAUGCGCGAAAGGGUGGGGAGCAAACAGGAUUAGAUACCCUGGUAGUC